rnacentral:rRNA from 1 species
AUUGAACGCUGGCGGCAGGCCUAACACAUGCAAGUCGAGCGAGCGGCGGACGGGUGAGUAAUGUAUGGGGACUGCCUGAUGGAGGGGGAUAACUACUGGAAACGGUAGCUAAUACCGCAUACCAUCAGCUAACCCAUAUGGGAUUAGCUGGUAGGUAAGGUAACGGCUCACCUAGGCGACGAUCCCUAGCUGGUCUGCGAGGAUGAUCAGCCACACGGGGACUGGGACACGGCCCAGACUACUACGGAGGCAGCAGUGGAGAAUAUUGGACAAUGAGCGCAAGCCUGAUGCAGCCAUGCCGCGUGUAUGAAGAAGGCCUUAGGGUUGUAAAGUACUUUCAGUCGGGAGGCGUUACCGACAGAAGAAGCACCGGCUAACUCCGUGCCAGCCGCCGCGGUAAUUC